GAUGAACGCUGGCGGCGUGCUUAACACAUGCAAGUCGAGCGAGAAGUUUUGAAAAGAUUCUUCGGAUGAAAUUUAAAAUGGAAAGCGGCGGGCGGGUGAGUAACGCGUAGGCAACCUGCCCCAUACAAAGGGAUAGCAUUUUGAAACGAAUAUUAAUACCUUAUGAAACUUAACUAGUGCAUGCUAGGUAGGUCAAAGAUUUAUCGGUAUGGGAUGGGCCUGCGUCUGAUUAGCUAGUUGGUGAGGUAACGGCUCACCAAGGCGACGAUCAGUAGCCGACCUGAGAGGGUGAACGGCCACAUUGGAACUGAGACACGGUCCAAACUCCUACGGGAGGCAGCAGUGGGGAAUAUUGCACAAUGGGGGAAACCCUGAUGCAGCAACGCAGCGUGAAAGAUGAAGGCCUUUGGGUCGUAAAGUUCUGUUCUAGGUGAUGAAAACUGACAGUAACCUAGGAGAAAGCCCCGGCUAACUCCGUG
rnacentral:rRNA from 1 species